UUUUACAGAUCUUAGUUUGUAUCUGUUAAUCCCAAACUCCUGAUUUAGCCUUCCCCCACCACCUUUCGCCUUUGGUAACCAUUGUCUUCUAUGUCUGUGAGUCCAUUUCUGUUUUGUAAAUAAGUUCGUUUGCAUUGUAUUUUAGUUUCCACAAGUAAGUGAUACCAUAUGACGUUGCUGUCUCUCUCGGUCCAUCCGUAUUGCCGCAGAUGGCCUUAUUUUAUUCUUUUUUAUGGCAGAAUAAUAGUCCCUUGUCUGUAUGUACCAGCUCUUCCUUAUCCGUUCCCCUGUGGACGGACACUUGGGUGGCCUCCGUGUCUUGGCUGAUGUGACUAGUGCUGCGAUGAACGUGGGGUGCCUGGAUCUUUUCUAAUUAGAGUCUCUGGAUGUUUGCCCAGGAGUGGGAAUCGCUGAAUCCUGUGUAUCUAUUUUUUUCACGGCGCAAAGAUUUGGAAGUAAAUGUUUUUGGGAACAUUUUAAGUGUCAUGCAUGUUAUUUGCAGUAUUUAUUUUCGCUGGACUUAAACCCUCUGGACGUUUCCAUAUGAAGUAUCCAUUUUUUUUUUUUUUGCACUCAAUUUCUUAGUCCCGAGCCUUCAGGUAGCAAUAGUCUUACACAAAGGUUAUACUUUCACUCAUGUUAAAUCCUAUUAUAAUAACUGUCACUAUCUCUUUAUUACCCUUAAAGUGAAUCAUAAAGAAAGGGAGUUUGGCGUGUGUUUUUAAGUACAGCAGGUGUGUGAUUUUUUUUAGAACAUUGUCACGUCCUGUGUACCUAGCCGUGCAGGAGGUUGAACACUGAAAGGGCCCAGCCGCCUUCGCGGUGACAGUGGGGACAAGGAAAUGAACAAAUGUCGUGUUGAGAACUUGUACGAAGCUUCAGCUUCUUUAACCAAAAAAGAAGUUGUUUCGUGCAGGUAGAAACACAGAAAGAAACUGCCAAAUAAAAGAAUAACACAUAAAACAUUUUCUCUUUUUUGCUAAACAUUUUCUCUUUUUCUAAAGCUAUUCUAUUUUGUUAUAAUCCUCUGCAGCUCUGAUUUGACUCCUUGCCUGGGAACCUACAGGUGCUGCAGGCACGGCCCUAAAAAGACCAAAAAAAAAAAAAAAAAAAAAAUCAGUGUAUCAGUUCAUAAACCAUUAUAGUAACUCGUACGCUUAUUAGGAUAAACUGGUUCUUGCCACAGUGCAACAAAGCUUGGGUUUCAGAGGUAGCAAGACUCAGGUUCAAAUCCAGGCUCUGUCAGUUACUAGAUGUAUGAUCUUGGGCAACGUAGUCAACUUCUUUGUGCCUUGGUUUCCCUACUGGCAGAAUGGCAGUAAUAAUAUCUGUCCCACGGGCUUUUUUAGGGUGACGUUGGGUAGUCCACUAGGUCAAGUUCAGUCAUCUCCUAGGAUUAGGUCGGGAGCAUGUCAAGCGUCCCCAGGGCCCAGUAGGGGGCACGUGCUCAUAACGGCUGCAGCCGUUGCAGUGGCAGUGGUGGCAGGUGCUGGGGAUGUACAAGCGGGCAAAGCUGGCAUUCCUGUCCCGGUGUCACGUGCUGGCCCUGCCUCGCCACGGCGUCCCUGGGGUGAAGGUGCGCGCAGGAGGCGGCCUGGCUGCACGGGGUUGCUGCCCGUCGCAGGGCACGGCUCUCACCAGCCCGGCUGGGCACCGAUACACUUCUCGUUAUUUUUCAACGAUGAAAAUAGAGGCCGAUUACCAUGUUUUAUGUGAACUUAAACUGCUUAGUUUACACUGUACGAGUGGGUUGUCAGGCAACAGCAGAUUGAAAUCCACGUCCUUUGAACAAUGGCAAUCUCAGGUGCUUAUAGCGUGUGUUUUGUGACUUUUCCUUAUUAUUUAAAGCUCUCCGUUCUUUGAGAAGGUAGGAAGGUUCUCUCAUUUCAGACCUCAGAAUUAGCAUUGAAAACAUGGGAUUCUUUACCUGGAUGGAUGAAAGUAAUUUAUUGUUUGCUGGGUCAAACACAGCAUGCUAUUUGUCACACUGUGGUUUGUGUAUCUUUCUAGAAGCUUUCAACUUUGAUCUGAGUCAAAGUACACUCAGUAGCACAGAUGACAGAGUUUUAAAAAAAAGCCCCAGUGAUGUGCAUUGUCACUUACAGAAACUCUAAAUCAACAAGUAUAGAGACGCAGAGUGAAAAAUCCAAGUCCUUUCAAGAGG
rnacentral:lncRNA from 9 species